AGGGGACCUUCGGGCCUUUCGCUAACAGAUGAGCCUGCGUUGGAUUAGCUAGUUGGUGGGGUAAGGGCCCACCAAGGCGACGAUCCAUAGCUGGUCUGAGAGGACGAUCAGCCACACUGGGACUGAGACACGGCCCAGACUCCUACGGGAGGCAGCAGUGGGGAAUAUUGGACAAUGGGCGCAAGCCUGAUCCAGCAAUACCGCGUGUGUGAAGAAGGCCCUAGGGUUGUAAAGCACUUUCAAUUGGGAGGAAAACCCACCGGCCAAUACCCGGUGGCUUGACAUUACCUUUAGAAGAAGCACCGGCUAACUCCGUGCCAGCAGCCGCGGUAAUACGGAGGGUGCGAGCGUUAAUCGGAAUUAUUGGGCGUAAAGCGUGCGUAGGCGGCCCGUUAAGUCAGAUGUGAAAGCCCCGGGCUCAACCUGGGAACUGCAUUUGAAACUGGCGGGCUAGAGUUUGGUAGAGGGGAGCGGAAUUUCAGGUGUAGCGGUGAAAUGCGUAGAUAUCUGAAGGAACACCAGUGGCGAA
rnacentral:rRNA from 1 species